UACGUAGGGUGCGAGCGUUAAUCGGAAUUACUGGGCGUAAAGCGUGCGCAGGCGGUUUUGUAAGCCAGAUGUGAAAGCCCCGGGCUCAACCUGGGAAUGGCAUUUGGGACUGCAAGGCUGGAGUUUGGCAGAGGAGACUGGAAUUCCUGGUGUAGCAGUGAAAUGCGUAGAUAUCAGGAGGAAUACCGAUGGCGAAGGCAGGUCUCUGGAGCUAUAACU
rnacentral:rRNA from 1 species